rnacentral:rRNA from 1 species
UACGAAGGGGGCGAGCGUUGUUCGGAUUUACUGGGCGUAAAGGGCGCGUAAGCGGCGCGAGAAGUCGAGUGUGAAAGCCCCGGGCUCAACCUGGGAAUUGCGCUCGAUACUCUUGUGCUUGAGUUCGGGAGAGGAGCGUGGAAUUCCCAGUGUAGAGGUGAAAUUCGUAGAUAUUGGGAAGAACACCGGUGGCGAAGGCGGGUCUCUGGGCCGAUACUGACGCUGAGGAGCGAAAGCGUGGGGAGCGAACAGG